GAUGAACGCUGGCGGCGUGCUUAACACAUGCGAGUCGAACGGUGAACACGGAGCUUGCUCUGUGGGAUCAGUGGCGAACGGGUGAGUAACACGUGAGCAACCUGCCCCUGACUCUGGGAUAAGCGCUGGAAACGGCGUCUAAUACUGGAUAUGUGACGUGAUCGCAUGGUCUGCGUCUGGAAAGAAUUUCGGUUGGGGAUGGGCUCGCGGCCUAUCAGCUUGUUGGUGAGGUAAUGGCUCACCAAGGCGUCGACGGGUAGCCGGCCUGAGAGGGUGACCGGCCACACUGGGACUGAGACACGGCCCAGACUCCUACGGGAGGCAGCAGUGGGGAAUAUUGCACAAUGGGCGCAAGCCUGAUGCAGCAACGCCGCGUGAGGGAUGACGGCCUUCGGGUUGUAAACCUCUUUUAGCAGGGAAGAAGCGAAAGUGACGGUACCUGCAGAAAAAGCGCCGGCUAACUACGUG
rnacentral:rRNA from 1 species